rnacentral:tRNA from 1 species
CAUUAGAUUGCUGAAAGUCAGUACUGGUCUCUUAAACCAUUCUAUAGUAAAUUAACGUCUACUUCUAAUG